GACGAACGCUGGCGGCGUGCUUAACACAUGCAAGUCGAACGGAAAGGCCCUGCUUGCAGGGUACUCGAGUGGCGAACGGGUGAGUAACACGUGGGUGAUCUGCCCUGCACUUCGGGAUAAGCCUGGGAAACUGGGUCUAAUACCGGAUAGGAGCCAUUUUUAGUGUGAUGGUUGGAAAGUUUUUUCGGUGUAGGAUGAGCUCGCGGCCUAUCAGCUUGUUGGUGGGGUAAUGGCCUACCAAGGCGGCGACGGGUAGCCGGCCUGGGAGGGUGGACGGGCACAUUGGGACUGGGAUACGGCCCAGACUCCUACGGGAGGCAGCAGUGGGGAAUAUUGCACAAUGGGCGCAAGCCUGAUGCAGCGCCGCCGCGUGGGGGAUGACGGCCUUCGGGUUGGAAACUCAUUUCGCUAGGGCCGAAGCUUUUUGUGACGGUACCUAGAUAAGAAGCACCGGCUAACUACGUG
rnacentral:rRNA from 1 species